rnacentral:rRNA from 1 species
UACGUAGGGUGCGAGCGUUAAUCGGAAUUACUGGGCGUAAAGCGCGCGCAGGCGGCACUUCAAGUAAGGUGUGAAAUCUCCCUGCUCAACGGGGAGGGUGCACUUUAGACUGAGGAGCUAGAGGACGGUAGAGGGGGGUGGAAUUGCUGGUGUAGCGGUGAAAUGCGUAGAGAUCAGCAGGAACACCCGUGGCGAAGGCGGCCCCCUGGGCCGUACCUGACGCUGAGGCGCGAAGGCUAGGGGAGCGAACGGG